rnacentral:rRNA from 1 species
GACGUAGGGGGCGAGCGUUGUUCGGAAUUACUGGGCGUAAAGCGUGCGUAGGCGGACUUAUAAGUCAAGGUUGAAAUAUCCGGGCUCAACUCGGGGCACGGCCUUGAUACUGCAAGUCUUGAGUCAAGCAGAGGGUAAUGGAAUUCCCGGUGUAGCGGUAAAAUGCGUAGAUAUCGGGAGGAACACCAGUGGCGAAGGCGAUUACCUGGGGUUGAUCUGACGCUGAGGAGCGAAAACUAGGGGAGCAAACGGG